CUGGAAAAAAUACAUUUCCAGCAUGUUACUACUUCAGAGAUUAUAUGUAGGGGCUAGAUGUACAGAUGUACAUUUGUGAGAGGGAGGCAGAGAGAUAAAUAGGAGGGACUGAGAUAGGAAUAAAGAUGGCUGCUCCCAUUGCUUCUUCCACCUUAGCCCUACUGCAGUAGAGAUGCAUGGACAUAUCAUAAAAAUGAACUAAGGAAAGCUUGGCAUCUGCCAACAGUCUUGGAUGUUUAGAAAAGGAUGGCUCCAUUGGACUCUGGUUGGAAUAUAGAAUUCGAGUGACUCCAGACUUGGGACUUGUGCAGUACUCUUGAGUCUUUCCUGGAACAGUGCUGAUUAAAAGAGCCACAAAAGCUUCAGUCAUUUCCCCCAGCUGUAUUGACACUAGUUCCAUUCAUAUAGCUUUCAUCUUGUUUCCUUCCUUGUAUAUGUAUGCAGCAAAAGUUGUGAAAUAAUAAUUGGCUGAUAUGUCAAGGGUUGAUUUUAUGUCUACAUCUAUCAUCUCUGGAUGAUGUUUGUACGUAGUUUUUCUAGAAACACUGAAAAUCAGCAAGAGAUUGCUUUGGGCCUGCUCCAGCCACCUUGCUCUUCUACAGACUCCUAGCCAAUCACUCCUUCAUUACUCUACCAUUAUCUGGAAGCUCCCUGCUUCCUUUGAAUUUAUACUGUGUUGCUACUAAUUCUACAUUAUUAUCUCAUGUGAUGAUGAUUUAUAGGCUGUUCUCUGUAAAGGUAAAUCCAACAGUUUUUUGUGUUCCUAAAAUGUUUCUUCUCUCACCUGUUCUUUAACCUUUCUCUUUUCUCUGCUUGUUCUUUUCUUCUGUCCUUCUCUUGGCCACUCUCUCAUUCUUCAGGUCUCAAUCUGAUUAUUUCUUCCGGAAGGCCUUCCCAGACCCAUUCCUUAUUCUGUCAUAGACUGGGUUAUUUUAUACCCUGCUGUUUUACUACCUUUAUUUCCAUUAGCCUUCUCAUACUUAAUCCUGCGUAACACUAAUCAUAUUUUAUUUCCCUCACUUAAGUAGUAAGUCCCAUGAAGGAAAAUAUUAUGUCUCACUCACCUCUGUCCCUAGUACCUGAUACAUGUUAGGAAAACAGUAGCAUUUGUUGAUUGAAUGAAGAUACACCUACAUGAAGAAAUCUGUGUUGUAAGUAAAAUUUGUCAGUUAAAAUUAACUUGGUCUUACCUCCUCUAUCUGAUAUAACCAAAAACAAAUACAGCAGUCAAAAAUUGGUUAGAAUUAGAAGAUAAACUUCUUCCUAACAGGCUGAAAUAUGUGACUUUAGAAACUUAAGAACUAACUCAUAAUCAACAUAUUCCUCAGCACACACUCACUGCUGGGAACACAGGACUGGAAAUAAAGUCAGUAUGGGAGAAGUCUAGGUAGGGCCAGCUUUAUAAUGACCAAUAAUCUGCUCUCACAGAAAACAAUAUAUAGCAAAUAUGUUUAAGAUUUAUAUAUGUCAGGUAAGGUUCUGUGCAAAGAUGUAGAUUGUAAGUUUAAAUUCUAGGGCUGGGGAUGUGGCUCAAGCGGUAGCGCGCUCGCCUGGCAUGCGUGCGGCCCGGGUUCGAUCCUCAGCACCACAUACAAACAAAGAUGUUGUGUCUGCCGAAAACUAAAAAAAAAAUAAA
rnacentral:lncRNA from 1 species